CCUGGCGGCUGUAGCGCGGUGGUCCCACCUGACCCCAUGCCGAACUCAGAAGUGAAACGCCGUAGCGCCGAUGGUAGUGUGGGGCCUCCCCAUGCGAGAGUAGGGAAC
rnacentral:rRNA from 1 species